rnacentral:rRNA from 1 species
UACGGGGGGGGUAAGCGUUGUUCGGAAUUACUGGGCGUAAAGGGCUCGUAGGCGGCCAACUAAGUCAUACGUGAAAUCCCUCAGCUUAACUGGGGAACUGCGUGAGAUACUGGAUGGCUUGGAUUUGGGAGAGGGAUGCGGAAUUCCAGGUGUAGCGGUGAAAUGCGUAGAUAUCUGGAGGAACACCGGUGGCGAAGGCGCUCUGCUAGGCCGUAACUGACACUGAGGGACGAAAGCUAGGGGAGCGAAUGGG